AUGUGUGACACCUUCUGCACAACCAUCACUUGGAACGUUAGAGGCCUUAACAUGUCUGCCAAGUGUUCUGCUGUUUCUGAAGCUGUAGCUGUUUGGAAGCCAUCAAUCGUCUGUCUACAAGAGACCAAAAUUAGCUCUUGGGAUGCAGCCCUGGUUAGAGAUAUAGGAGGUACCCUGCUUGAUCAAAAGACCCACCUACCUGUUGAUGGCACUAGAGGCGGCAUUAGCAUUUUCUGGAAUAGUAAUUUAGUAGAAUUGUCGGAUAUAUCCACCAACACCUUCUCCAUCUCGGCCAUAGUUAAAUCCUUAGCGGACAAUAAAAUCUUUUGCCUCUCGACGAUUUAUGGUCCAUCUGACGAUCAAGCAAAAGACGUUUUUCUAGCUGAAAUGUGCGUUGCUGCCCCGAGUGCAAACAUCCUGUAG
rnacentral:rRNA from 1 species